rnacentral:lncRNA from 1 species
ACAUUAUUAUUCAAUUCGAGCGCAGUGUUUUGCUGAACGGGACAGUCGUGGAGAGGAUUCUUGUCAGUGAUGCACGUUUAAAGGGACAGUUCGACAAGCAACCUGUUGUCAGACCCAUUCAAGAUGAGGUCCUGCAAAUGAUGGUGGAGAAUUAUCAUGCAACAGCAAGUUAUGGCACAUAUAUACGUUUGAGGGAAUGUAAGCUGCGAGGAGAUCGAGUCCUGCAGCUGUCCGACCGGAUUCAGCUCAAUGGCAAAGAUUAUCUUGACUUUAGAUUCAGACACUGAUUCGUGGACAGUGUUGAUGCCAGAGGCACAGGAUCUAAAGAAGUCAUGGACACUUAAGGCCGAGCAAGCGAGUCUAGAGAAAAUUCACCUGAAACAAGAGUGUGAGGAAUCCAUUAAACAGUGGAAUGACACCCAGAAUCAAGAAGGUCUGGGUGUGUUAAGAGUGAUAUUUCCAGUUCUCGCCACUAUUCUCUUCAUUGGACUCGUCUUAAUAAGCUUCCUUAUCUUCAAGCGACACGGCCAUCAGCCAGGAGGUGUUUUAGGCUCAAUUAUCCAUUAUCCAGCCCAUCAUCUUGAAGUACCAUUGGACAGACAGAGCCAAAAGAACAUCGCUCAAGUCCCAGUGCUAAAGGGUCCCUAAAGAUGUUUUGCUUGAAAUGAUCUUGAAACCUUUUUUUUUUUAAUUGUUAAUAUCAGGGGUGGAUUAAGGUGGUCAGGGGCCCCUAGGCUGCUCUUUGUGUGAGGCCCCCCUUAAUCAUUAUGCUUUACUGAAUAAAUUUAUUUAGUGCCAUACAUGGUCCACACACACAUAGUAAGGUGAACUGGCAUACACACACACACACACACACACACACAUUGAGACAGCCAAUCCUACAGUGUUUCCUCUACAUUCCCAGUGUCUCCACAGGAUUUUGUGAAACUUUGAUGGGUGCACAUUGGUUCCUCAAGUCUAGGGAGUUCUGCGGGUAUAAGAAAAUUAUGAAAAGAAAAAUUUAUUUAAUUAAUCAUCAUGUAAUAAAUGUCAUUUGAGUUCUACUUUCUGAGUAUGAAUUAUCAUAUGCAGUAAAAACAACAACACUCAAGCACUGUAAAAGGUUUUGUCUUAUCUCUUGUAUGAUUUCAUAUGAGUCUCUUCAGACCUUAGAACUGUACAUGAAUUAUGAGCUUCUAGAACGUUUGACCUCCUAACUGAACGCCUUUUCACAAAUUGAACAUAGAAAUAAAUAACAGUAUAAAUAACAAAAAAUAAACAACAGUUCUUUCUUAGUUGUAUUAAGUGCGAACAAUAAGUGCUUUCUCUAUAUUCAAAGUGCAAAUAGAGACCAAUUUUUCAAGCAUGAUGCAGAGCUAUAGACAGCUACACAACCUAUUAUAGCCUAAUAACAGCCUAGAUAUGUUAUGUAGCCUAAUUCGGGGUAUUAAAAUCGCUUUUGAAUGCGUGUGCGCAUUUUACUUUCAGUUUCGGUGCUGAGCAUGCAUUCUACAACACAAGACUUUAAUUUUGUCAGAAGCUCUGCUAACAAAUCCUACUUUGAUGUUUCUUAGAUGUUUCUUAUGGGCCAGUGAGGGUCUUUUCUGUUCACGCUGAAGAAAAUGUAAAAUUAUAAAAAAAGAAAAAAAGUCCAGGCAAUCCGAGGCCCCUUUUUAUUUUGUUAUUUUUUACUGUAAUUGUGUUUUUAUGCUACUGAUAUUCUACAGUUUUUAUAUAGCACAAUCUGAUUCAUUUUCUUGUGUUUAAUGUCAGCUAAACACAAUUUUUUUGAUGUGACAUUUUUUUUCUUUUCCCCACUGUGUGAAACAUCUGAUAUCAUAUUUAAAAGCAUCUGCUUACCAAGAGAUUUUGUUGUAUCUGACACUAGCAUUAAUUAUAUUGCAAAUUCAUGCAAAAAGACCAAAAUCUCAUGAUAGAUCUGCUCUUUUAUUAUUCAUUGCACUUAUUUAUUUUUUCAUUGUAAUUAAGAUGGAAUACUUUUAUUUUAACUGUAAUGCUUUAUAAGUGUUGAAUUAUGUAAUAACAUUAAAUAAUUGUUAAAUAAAUUGUUUUAUAAACCAAUAAAUGUAUUAAAAAUUAUUAUUAUAUUAUUGUAUUAUAUUAUUAAUUAUUAUAAUUGUUGUAAUUAUCAUUAUUAUUGUUUAUGAUAAUAAAGCUAAUGCAUAAAAAUAAAACUAUUUAUGUGAAAACUAUUUUUGGACAUAACACAAAUUCACAUUUAUGCAUUUGCCUUGUUUGUCUUUCUCCUUUUGACUGUGAUUCCCAGCAGACAGACCUAACUAGGCCAGCUUAAUAUUUUAUUACGGUGUUCAGAUUCAUUAUGAUAGAACAAUAUAAAGUAGCCUACUAAAAGACAUACGAAAAGACGAAAGAAUAUCAACUACAUGUAGCAUUCAUGUAGAGUCUGUAAUUAUAACAAUGGUCUUUGAUGUUUCUAGUUAUUCAUAUGAUAUAUGCAUGGCUCAGUAAGCACUAUAGAGGACCAAGUUACAUUUACCGAGUGUACUGUUGAAGUACACUUAACCUUGGUCAAGAGAGAGGAAUGUUGUCGUGUCAAAUUGCCUCUUUUUAUCUCACAUUACAUCACAUCCUUUGCGGUAGGUUGUGUUUCUGCCGGAAGAGUGUGCUGGAAGUUCAAAGAUAUUUUCUUAUAGUUAUCAAAACUACAUAAUUUAAAAGCACCUGCACAUUUUCACUUAUAUAUCCUGCUAGUUCCAUGACGUUUGUCGAAUCAAAUAUUAUGUUUCUAGUGUUUUAUGAGUGUCGGAACGAUUUUACAAGAUGUUACAUCACGCGAGUUUCCACACGGACAUUUUAUUGGCUGGACAGUAACAGCUCAUACAGAAACAAAACCGACUAGCAACAGCAGUCUAUGAAAUUCUGCUCACAUUGGCUUCUACAUAAGUUUUCUCUUCAUUAUUGUUUUUGAAGACUUACGCGAGAAGAUGGGAGUUCCUAAAUUUUUAUCGCUGGAUAUCGGAGCGGUAUCCUUGUCUGAGUGAAGUUGUCAAAGAGCAUCAGGUGAGCUAGUUUGGCUAAAUAUAACAGGCCGCGAAGAGCUCAUUUACAGCUCUGAGAACAGCAGCUCAAACCAUACACUUAAAAGACACCAAAACCUUCGUUUUGUUGUCCCUCCACCGCGAAUAUGUUCGGUAUAGAGGGGAAUUUUAUCUUUAUGAUUUAGCGACAUUCUAUAAGGUAACGUACAUAAUAAUGAAUGUGUCUCAAAAUGUGAUGAGCUGUCUACCUAGUCAGCACUUUACGCAUCGUAGGCGAUUUCAGACGAGCUAUCAUCAUAAUUACCCGAUCAGCUGUGACGAAUAAUGGGCAGAACACCACAAGCUCAAACAGUAGCAGGGGAUUUAAGAACCCAAUCAACAUUUCUGAACAUUAUUCGGAACGCCCCUAUGAAGCCCAAAUAUGCCCCCUAGGUUUUGAGAGAGUGAUGUUACUAGUUGCCGUUUACACUUGGUAAUUUAUUGAAAGGUGAAGACCCACCAUCAAGCUUUCCUUGUCAGAAUGACUGUUAAACAUAUUUUGCUGCACUGUUUUAAAUAUUAAUAAUCAACGUUUUUAUUCAGAGAUAUGUUUGACUGAUGUAAUUAUCAGCUGAAUGUAACUUAGAAUUAUUGAUUUAAUUAUUUAUCUGAAAUGCUUUAUAGAGCUUUUUGUUAAUUGUAUGACUCCUGUUACUCACUUUGUUCUGGCCAUGAAGGUGCAUAUAUAUAAAUACAUAAAUAAGUUAUCAUAAAUCAUAAUAAUAAA